UACGUAGGUGACAAGCGUUGUCCGGAUUUACUGGGCGUAAAGAGCGCGCAGGCGGUCGAUCAAGUCGAGUGUGAAAGCCCCGGCUCAACUGGGGAGGUCGAUUCGAUACUGAUCGACUCGAAGGCAGGAGAGGGUAGUGGAAUUCCGGUGUAGUGGUGAAUGCGUAGAUAUCGGGAGGAACACCGGUGGCGAAGGCGACUACCUGGCCUGUCUUGACG
rnacentral:rRNA from 1 species